rnacentral:lncRNA from 1 species
AUGGGUCCAACAGUGCUGGGUCAAGGCGAGGAGGGGGCAGCCGGAAGCGGGCGCAUGCUCUGGACUCCUGCAGCCGCCGAAACGGCCAAUCGUGUUUAAGGAGAAACUAACAAUGAAAACGGACUCGUUGAUGGAGGAAAAGUUGGAAUGCAGCCUCUGGUGCUGUUUGAGCGAUCCCUCUAUCCCGGGUCGCUGCUGUGUUCUGGAAAGGCGCAUUGUACCCUGGAUGCAGCAGGAAUCCUAUUCAUCUUCUUCACCGAUAAGGUCUGUGGACUCUGAUGAGCCAAAUCUGACAUCAGUUCUGGAACGUCUAGAAGAUACUAAGGACAACAGCAGUUCGGUGAGGAAAGAAACCAAGCUAUUUUCUCUUUUUCUCAUAAACAUUAUAUUUAGAAAU